rnacentral:rRNA from 1 species
ACGGGAGGCAGCAGUGGGGAAUAUUGCACAAUGGGGGAAACCCUGAUGCAGCGACGCCGCGUGAGUGAAGAAGUGUUUCGGUAUGUAAAGCUCUAUCAGCAGGAAAGAAAAUGACGGUACCUGACUAAGAAGCCCCGGCUAACUACGUGCCAGCAGCCGCGGUAAUACGUAGGGGGCAAGCGUUAUCCGGAUUCACUGGGUGUAAAGGGAGCGUAGACGGCUUUGCAAGUCUGAAGUGAAAGCCCGGGGCUCAACCCCGGAACUGCUUUGGAAACUGUAGAGCUGGAGUGCAGGAGAGGUAAGUGGAAUUCCUAGUGUAGCGGUGAAAUGCGCAGAUAUUAGGAGGAACACCAGUGGCGAAGGCGGCUUACUGGACUGUAACUGACGUUGAGGCUCGAAGGCGUGGGGAGCAAACAGGAUUAGAUACCCUGGUA